rnacentral:rRNA from 1 species
AUACGGAAGGUCCGGGCGUUAUCCGGAUUUAUUGGGUUUAAAGGGAGCGCAGGCGGAGAUGCAAGCGUGACGUCAAAUUUCGGGGCUCAACCCCGUCUCGCGUCGCGAACUGCGUCCCUUGGUUGCGGGAAGGGGAGGCGGAACUCGUGGUGUAGCGGUGAAAUGCAUAGAUAUCACGAAGAACUCCGAUCGCGAAGGCAGCCUCCCGGCCCGUCAACGACGCUCAUGCUCGAAGGUGCGGGUAUCAAACAGGAUUAGAUACCCUGGUAGUCCGCACAGUAAACGAUGGACACCCGCGGUUUGGCCUGUAUGGCUGAGCCGCCAAGCGAAAGCGUUAAGUGUCCCACCUGGGGAGUACGCCGGCAACGGUGAAACUCAAAUGAAUUGACGGGG